GAAAAUAUUGAUGAUUCCUGUUGUGUAUUCUCAAGGAAUGGUCAGGUUAAAUACUGACCGUUGCGGUGCGUAGAAGAAAGGUGCCACUUUCACUUAGUUCUCUCAGUUCUAAGUUGGGACUGCAAAAAUUUGAGAAUUUCCCCACAUAGACCUGAAGUUUCUGCUUCUAGCAUUUCUCUUCUGUAAGCAACAUGGCAAACCCGGUUUCAAAGUAAAGACCUGAGGAAGAAUGUAGAUUGAUCACUGUGAUUUCAAGUCCUUCAGAGCUGGAGCUGUUAAGACUUGAGACAGAUAUAUGCAGGGCCACAGGGGCCUACAAGAUCCAAUUCAUAAGAAAGCUGAGGCACAUCAAUCAAACGCCAACCCACCUGCUAUUGGCACUAAAUGAGGAAGGAAAAAGAACAUUGUCCCUGAAGGCUCGAGAUACACAAACAGGCAACUGAGUUUGGGAAAGGUGGUUGUCUCCUUGACGCACACCAUGGUGCCCUUGUUUACUCUCUCUCUUCUUCCUUGGACAGACACCUUAUUUACUGGUAGCAGGUUCUCUCGUACCAUUUUUCGGUGGAGUUGUAUUGGCAUCUUUGACUGAAGUUUCUUUCAACUGACAAAACAUGACAAGAAAGGGGUAGAACUAACCUACAUGGAGCUUGGUCAAGGUCGCCGCUCAUGUUUGACGGCAUUGUUUCCGGUUCCACUACGUUGUCGAUGCAUGUUACCUAUGGCCCCGUUGCUGCUUUCCUCGGUAGGGCGUGGUCCAUCAGCCACUGCGUGCAGACAAUAGAAUUUAGGCCAGCAAUUGUCGCUUAUCUACGCUACAGAUCGACCCAUAGACAGGGAAAGGAAGCGAUGGCUAGUGGGGAGAGGAGCCGGGGGACGUGUUGUGACGGGACAAGAGGCGCAAUGGCAGGGAGAGAAGCUAAAGACUACGCCAUGUGAGUUGCUGAAGUUGUGCCUUAUGCGGUGGGGAUAAGGGAUGUGUGAUGUGCUUGUGUGGUGAGAGGCGAGGAGUGGCUUUUCCUUUUUGUGGGAGGCUGUUCAUAUUUGUCUAUUCUAUUUUUAUAUUCAAGAUACAUACAAUUAUUUAUCAUCAUUAUAAUCGAGAUAAUAAAUAUUUAUUUAUUC